AGAGUUUGAUCAUGGCUCAGAACGAACGUUGGCGGCGUGCUUAACACAUGCAAGUCGAACGAGAAAGUUCCUUCGGGAACGAGUAAAGUGGCGCACGGGUGAGUAACGCGUAGAUAACCUGUCCAGGUGUUUGGGAUAGCCCUUCGAAAGGGGGAUUAAUACCGAAUACGUUGAUUUGUCAUAAGGCAGAUCAAGAAAGGUGGCCUCUAUUUAUAAGCUAUCGCAUUUGGAGGGGUCUGCGUACCAUUAGCUAGUUGGUGGGGUAAUGGCCUACCAAGGCUUCGAUGGUUAGCGGGUCUGAGAGGAUGAUCCGUCACACUGGCACUGAAACACGGGCCAGACUCCUACGGGAGGCAGCAGUGAGGAAUAUUGCGCAAUGGGGGGAACCCUGACGCAGCGACGCCGCGUGAGUGAGGAAGGCCUUCGGGUCGUAAAGCUCUGUCAGAAGGGAAGAAAUGUACAUUAGCUAAUAUCUUUUGUGCUUGACGGUACCUCAAAG
rnacentral:rRNA from 1 species